AGUGGGCGGAAUGUGUCAUGUAGCGGUGAAAUGCUUAGAUAUGACACAGAACACCGAUAGCGAAGGCAGCUCACUAAGCUGAAACUGACGCUCAUGCACGAAAGCGUGGGGGAUCAAACAGGAUUAGAUACCCUGGUAGUCCACGCUGUAAACGAUGAUCACUCGUUGUCUGGCGAUAUACUGUCAGCGACCUGAGCGAAAGCAUUAAGUGAUCCACCUGGGGGAGUACGACGGCAACGUUGAAACUCAAAGGAAUUGACGGGGGCCCGCACAAGCGGAGGAGCAUGUGGUUUAAUUCGAUGAUACGCGAGGAACCUUACCUGGGCUUAAAUGUAGGACGACCUCCGGCGAAAGCCGGAUUUCCUUCGGGACGUCCUGCAAGGUGCUGCAUGGUUGUCGUCAGCUCGUGCCGUGAGGUGUCGGGUUAAGUCCCAUAACGAGCGCAACCCUUAUUCUUAGUUGCCAUCAGGUAAAGCUGGGAACUCUAAGAAAACUGCCUACGCAAGUAGUGAGGAAGGUGGGGAUGACGUCAAAUCAGCACGGCCCUUAUGUCCAGGGCGACACACGUGCUACAAUGGUUGGUACAGAGGGUUGCUACCAGGUGACUGGAUGCUAAUCUCGAAAGCCGAUCUCAGUUCGGAUCGAAGUCUGCAACUCGACUUCGUGAAGUUGGAUUCGCUAGUAAUCGCGCAUCAGCCAUGGCGCGGUGAAUACGUUCCCGGGCCUUGUACACACCGCCCGUCAAGCCAUGGGAGUUGGGGGUACCUGAAGUUCGUAACCGCAAGGAGCGACCUAGGGUAAAACCAAUGACUGGGGCUAAGUCGUAACAAGGUAGCCGU
rnacentral:rRNA from 1 species